AUGUGUACAAGAAUGACAUUGAGUCAGAUGAAGAGAUUUGUUGCCAUGUUGCAAAGAUUAACACUUGGGCUAACUUAAUAGUUUGCUCACUUCUAACAGUAAUGCAUGCUAAUACAGGCUUGAUGUUAAAGGUUGGAAUAACCACAUAGCCAUUGUCAAUGAUAGCAAGCAGUAGAAGGCACUUGUGGUCUGAAGCAUAUUUAGCUGGAAUGCUUGUUAAAAUCCAACCAAACAGUGUAGUUGAACUUGUAAUAAACUUCGCUACAGAUAAUGAUGUUGCUGACAAGUCUAAGUACCAAAAGGUGAAAACAAUUGAGGGAAAAUGCAAAGCAU
rnacentral:lncRNA from 1 species